rnacentral:rRNA from 1 species
UUUGAUCCUGGCUUCAGGGAUGAACGCUAGCUACGGGGUUUAACACAUGCAGGUCGGACGGAUUCUGGAUUCGUCUGGGAAUUAGUGGCAACGGGGUGAGUAACACGUAUCCAACCACCCUGCGACUCGGGGAUAGCCUCUUGAAAGGGAGAUUAAUAUCCGAUGUACUGUUUUUGGUGCAUGCCAUUUUCAGUAAAGUUUUUUUACGGUCGCUGACGGGGAUGCGUUCCAUUAGAUAGUCGGUGUGAUAACGGCUCACCGAGUCUAUGAUGGAUAGGGGUUCUGAGAGGAAGGUCCCCCACAUUGGAACUGCGACACGGUCCAAACUCCUACGGGAGGCAGCAGUGAGGAAUAUUCCACAAUGGACGAAAGUCUGAUGGAGCGACGCCGCGUGGAUGAUGAAGGCCGAAAGGUUGUAAAAUCCUUUUACACUGGAGGAAUAAGCAGAGUAGGGAAUGACUCUGUGAUGACUGUACAGUUUGAAUAAGCAACGGCUAAUUACGUGCCAGCAGCCGCGGUAACACGUAAGUUGCGAGCGUUGUUCGGAAUUAUUGGGCGUAAAGGGCAUGUAGGCGGAUUUGCAAGCUUGAUGUGAAAUCCCGCAGCUUAACUGCGGAACUGCAUUGGGAACUGCAAGACUAGAGUUACUGAGGGGAAACUAGAAUUCCAAGUGUAGGGGUGAAAUCUGUAGAUAUUUGGAAGAAUACCAAUGGCGAAGGCAAGUUUCUGGCAGAUAACUGACGCUGAGGUGCGAAGGUGCGGGGAGCAAACAGGAUUAGAUACCCCGGUAGUCCACACAGUAAA